GCAGUCGAACGGUAACAUAAAGAAGCUUGCUUCUUUGAUGACGAGUGGCGGACGGGUGAGUAAUGCUUGGGAAUCUAGCUUAUGGAGGGGGAUAACUACGGGAAACUGUAGCUAAUACCGCGUAAUACCGAAAGAUUAAAGUGUGGGACCUUCGGGCCACAUGCCAUAGGAUGAGCCCAAGUGGGAUUAGGUAGUUGGUGAGGUAAAGGCUCACCAAGCCGACGAUCUCUAGCUGGUCUGAGAGGAUGACCAGCCACACUGGGACUAAGACACGGCCCGGACUCCUACGGGAGGCAGCAGUGGGGAAUAUUGCGCAAUGGGGGCAACCCUGACGCAGCCAUGCCGCGUGAAUGAAGAAGGCCUUCGGGUUGUAAAGUUCUUUCGGUAGCGAGGAAGGCAUUUAGUUUAAUAGACUAGGUGAUUGACGUUAACUACAGAAGAAGCACCGGCUAACUCCGUGCCAGCAGCCGCGGUAAUACGGAGGGUGCGAGCGUUAAUCGGAAUAACUGGGCGUAAAGGGCACGCAGGCGGUGACUUAAGUGAGGUGUGAAAGCCCCGGGCUUAACCUGGGAAUUGCAUUUCGUACUGGGUCGCUAGAGUACUUUAGGGAGGGGUAGAAUUCCACGUGUAGCGGUGAAGUGCGUAGAGAUGUGGAGGAAUACCGAAGGCGAAGGCAGCCCCUUGGGAAUGUACUGACGCUCAUGUGCGAAAGCGUGGGGAGCAAACAGGAUUAGAUACCCUGGUAGUCCACGCUGUAAACGAUGU
rnacentral:rRNA from 1 species